rnacentral:rRNA from 1 species
UACGAAGGGUGCAAGCGUUAAUCGGAAUUACUGGGCGUAAAGCGUGCGUAGGUGGUUUGUUAAGUCUGAUGUGAAAGCCCUGGGCUCAACCUGGGAAUUGCAUUGGAUACUGGCAGGCUAGAGUGCGGUAGAGGAUGGCGGAAUUCCCGGUGUAGCAGUGAAAUGCGUAGAGAUCGGGAGGAACAUCUGUGGCGAAGGCGGCCAUCUGGACCAGCACUGACACUGAGGCACGAAAGCGUGGGGAGCAAACAGG